rnacentral:rRNA from 1 species
GACGAAGGGGGCUAGCGUUGUUCGGAAUUACUGGGCGUAAAGCGCGUGUAGGCGGUUGUUCAAGUCAGGUGUGAAAGCCUUGAGCUCAACUCAAGAAAUGCACUUGAUACUGGAUGACUAGAGGACCGGAGAGGAUAGUGGAAUUCCCAGUGUAGUGGUGAAAUACGUAGAGAUUGGGAAGAACACCAGUGGCGAAGGCGGCUCACUGGCCCGUAACUGACGCUCAUGCACGACAGCGUGGGGAUCAAACAGG